AAAACCUACCCCAUUCUGGAAUGUUGGAGUAUGAUCUUCCAAAGAAGCCUUUCCAUUCUGCAGAUGGAUACUCCCAAUCGAAUCAUUAUAACGAGUGAAAUCUUCUUUACCAACAACUUUCACAUAAUUUGCAGCUAUCUCACAUUGCUUAGCCCUUUCACGAAUUAACAUAUCUGCUUCUUGAAGAGUUAGAAAACUAAU
rnacentral:misc_RNA from 1 species